AGUCAAGUGAAUAAGUGCAUCAGGCGGAUGCCUUGGCGAUGAUAGGCGACGAAGGACGUGUAAGCCUGCGAAAAGCGCGGGGGAGCUGGCAAUAAAGCUAUGAUUCCGCGAUGUCCGAAUGGGGAAACCCACUGCAUUCUGUGCAGUAUCCUAAGUUGAAUACAUAGGCUUAGAGAAGCGAACCCGGAGAACUGAACCAUCUAAGUACCCGGAGGAAAAGAAAUCAACCGAGAUUCCGCAAGUAGUGGCGAGCGAACGCGGAGGAGCCUGUACGUAAUAACUGUCGAGAUAGAAGAACAAGCUGGGAAGCUUGACCAUAGCGGGUGACAGUCCCGUAUUCGAAAUCUCAACAGCGGUACUAAGCGUACGAAAAGUAGGGCGGGACACGUGAAAUCCUGUCUGAAUAUGGGGGGACCAUCCUCCAAGGCUAAAUACUCAUCAUCGACCGAUAGUGAACCAGUACCGUGAGGGAAAGGCGAAAAGAACCCCGGGAGGGGAGUGAAACAGAACCUGAAACCUGAUGCAUACAAACAGUGGGAGCGCCCUAGUGGUGUGACUGCGUACCUUUUGUAUAAUGGGUCAACGACUUACAUUCAGUAGCGAGCUUAACCGGAUAGGGGAGGCGUAGGGAAACCGAGUCUUAAUAGGGCGAUGAGUUGCUGGGUGUAGACCCGAAACCGAGUGAUCUAUCCAUGGUCAGGUUGAAGGUGCCGUAACAGGUACUGGAGGACCGAACCCACGCAUGUUGCAAAAUGCGGGGAUGAGCUGUGGGUAGGGGUGAAAGGCUAAACAAACUCGGAGAUAGCUGGUUCUCCCCGAAAACUAUUUAGGUAGUGCCUCGAGCAAGACACUGAUGGGGGUAAAGCACUGUUAUGGCUAGGGGGUUAUUGCAACUUACCAACCCAUGGCAAACUCAGAAUACCAUCAAGUGGUUCCUCGGGAGACAGACAGCGGGUGCUAACGUCCGUUGUCAAGAGGGAAACAACCCAGACCGCCGGCUAAGGUCCCAAAUGAUAGAUUAAGUGGUAAACGAAGUGGGAAGGCACAGACAGCCAGGAUGUUGGCUUAGAAGCAGCCAUCAUUUAAAGAAAGCGUAAUAGCUCACUGGUCGAGUCGUCCUGCGCGGAAGAUGUAACGGGGCUCAAAUCUAUAACCGAAGCUGCGGAUGCCGGUUUACCGGCAUGGUAGGGGAGCGUUCUGUAGGCUGAUGAAGGUGCAUUGUAAAGUGUGCUGGAGGUAUCAGAAGUGCGAAUGUUGACAUGAGUAGCGAUAAAGCGGGUGAAAAGCCCGCUCGCCGAAAGCCCAAGGUUUCCUACGCAACGUUCAUCGGCGUAGGGUGAGUCGGCCCCUAAGGCGAGGCAGAAAUGCGUAGUCGAUGGGAAACAGGUUAAUAUUCCUGUACUUGAUUCAAAUGCGAUGUGGGGACGGAGAAGGUUAGGUUGGCAAGCUGUUGGAAUAGCUUGUUUAAGCCGGUAGGUGGAAGACUUAGGCAAAUCCGGGUUUUCUUAACACCGAGAAGUGAUGACGAGUGUCUACGGACACGAAGCAACCGAUACCACGCUUCCAGGAAAAGCCACUAAGCUUCAGUUUGAAUCGAACCGUACCGCAAACCGACACAGGUGGGCAGGAUGAGAAUUCUAAGGCGCUUGAGAGAACUCGGGAGAAGGAACUCGGCAAAUUGAUACCGUAACUUCGGGAGAAGGUAUGCCCUCUAAGGUUAAGGACUUGCUCCGUAAGCCCCGGAGGGUCGCAGAGAAUAGGUGGCUGCGACUGUUUAUUAAAAACACAGCACUCUGCCAACACGAAAGUGGACGUAUAGGGUGUGACGCCUGCCCGGUGCCGGAAGGUUAAUUGAAGAUGUGCAAGCAUCGGAUCGAAGCCCCGGUAAACGGCGGCCGUAACUAUAACGGUCCUAAGGUAGCGAAAUUCCUUGUCGGGUAAGUUCCGACCCGCACGAAUGGCGUAACGAUGGCCACACUGUCUCCUCCCGAGACUCAGCGAAGUUGAAGUGGUUGUGAAGAUGCAAUCUACCCGCUGCUAGACGGAAAGACCCCGUGAACCUUUACUGUAGCUUUGCAUUGGACUUUGAAGUCACUUGUGUAGGAUAGGUGGGAGGCUUGGAAGCAGAGACGCCAGUCUCUGUGGAGUCGUCCUUGAAAUACCACCCUGGUGUCUUUGAGGUUCUAACCCAGACCCGUCAUCCGGGUCGGGGACCGUGCAUGGUAGGCAGUUUGACUGGGGCGGUCUCCUCCCAAAGCGUAACGGAGGAGUUCGAAGGUUACCUAGGUCCGGUCGGAAAUCGGACUGAUAGUGCAAUGGCAAAAGGUAGCUUAACUGCGAGACCGACAAGUCGGGCAGGUGCGAAAGCAGGACAUAGUGAUCCGGUGGUUCUGUAUGGAAGGGCCAUCGCUCAACGGAUAAAAGGUACUCCGGGGAUAACAGGCUGAUUCCGCCCAAGAGUUCAUAUCGACGGCGGAGUUUGGCACCUCGAUGUCGGCUCAUCACAUCCUGGGGCUGUAGUCGGUCCCAAGGGUAUGGCUGUUCGCCAUUUAAAGUGGUACGUGAGCUGGGUUUAAAACGUCGUGAGACAGUUUGGUCCCUAUCUGCAGUGGGCGUUGGAAGUUUGACGGGGGCUGCUCCUAGUACGAGAGGACCGGAGUGGACGAACCUCUGGUGUACCGGUUGUAACGCCAGUUGCAUAGCCGGGUAGCUAAGUUCGGAAGAGAUAAGCGCUGAAAGCAUCUAAGCGCGAAACUCGCCUGAAGAUGAGACUUCCCUUGCGGUUUAACCGCACUAAAGGGUCGUUCGAGACCAGGACGUUGAUAGGUGGGGUGUGGAAGCGCGGUAACGCGUGAAGCUAACCCAUACUAAUUGCCCGUGAGGCUUGACUCU
rnacentral:rRNA from 1 species